rnacentral:rRNA from 1 species
CCCCUAGAUGUUCUGGGCCGCACGCGCGCUACACUGAACAGUUCAACAAGUCUUAACCUUGGCCGAUAGGUCUGGGUAAUCUUUGAACGCUGUUCGUGAUUGGGAUAGACCUUUGCAAUUAUGGGUCUUCAACGAGGAAUUCCUAGUAAACGCAAGUCAUCAGCUUGCAUUGAUUACGUCCCUGCCCUUUGUACACACCGCCCGUCGCACCUACCGAUUGAAUGGUCCGGUGAAAUCUCGGGACGGCGGCUUGGUCGCUUGCGUCCGACUGCUGAAACUUGAUUAAACCAUACCAUUUAGAGGAAGGUGAANUCGUANCA